AUGUGGUUUAUGAAAGAAAGCAGUGAUGUGAAUUUCUCUGGUCCCGCAGUGAAGCCCUCCGUGUCUCUGCUGCCGCCCUCUUCUCUGCAGAUCUCUGGAGACUCAGCCGCACUGCUCUGCCUGCUCAGCUCUUACUCUCCACAGGGGGCGACGGUGAGCUGGACGCUGGACGGGUCAGAGGUCACCGAGGGGGUUCAGACCAGCGCAGAGAGCGAGCGGGACGGACGCUACAGCCGCAGCAGCGUCCUGAGCCUCAGCAAAGCACGCUGGGAAGGCGCGGAUCGCUUCGUCUGCAGAGUAAGACAUGACGGAGCUGAUCACGAGGCCUCGUUCCUCAAGAGCUCCCAGUGCUGAUGUUUCUCCGGUCCAGACGAGCCGUAUCUGAGCGUCCGGCAGGAUUCGCAGCAGUCACGUGAUUUACAGCUCAAUACUGAAGCAGUCUUUCAAUGUGCUGCCAUUGCUGUUCAUUCAAUAAAGCUUCUGAACGCGUUA